GAUGCUAUUGUUAACAAUAUCAUGUGUCCUAUAAUUCUCACCAUCUGUAGGAUGUGUAUUUCUUAUUGCACAGAUGGCUUAUCUUGAAUUAUCCAUAAAUUUCCUUUAAAGCAAGAGAGCUGGUUUCCUAUUUUGAAUGGUAUGGCCUGAAUUUCUAAAUCCCUUCCCCAGAAAUCAUUACACGUUGGCAAAGACAUCUGGUCACUUACCUGGUAAAUAUAGGCCUCCCCACAAAGUCCACCCUGACGCAUGACCACAUAUGCCAGAUUUGCCAAAAUAGGUCCUGCAAAGCCGUGAAACAGCUGCUGAGCUGCUUGAAUCCUCCCACUUCCUUAAUGUUCUAACUUCCUUAACUUCGUCCUAUUUAUACAAAACUCAUUUUCUUCUCUGGCCUCACAGCAACCUAACUCCAUGCUUGCUUGCCUCAUUUAUUUAUAAAUGAGCAUAGUGAUUCUUUCCUCUUUUACCUGAUGUUCUCAAAUGCUUUUCCCAACCUCAAGCUUAUUCUAAUCUUUGUAGUCAUUUUCCUGCCGUGCUACUCCCAUUCCUGAUUUCUGAAUAGACCGAUGGAGAAGCCAUGGAUUCUCAGUUCUGGCUUAAGCGCUUGAGCCCAACAUGCGCCAAUAAAGAUUUUAGCCUAAGAGAAAAUCUAUUAAAGGCAAGUUUCGAUUUUCUGUGUGUUUCUUUUCUAAGAACCUAAAAGUUAAACAAAGAAGUUGUUUAUAAAGUUGUCUCAUAAAUUUACCCCCAAAGAGGACCAUUUCUAGACUUACUAUAGCGAAACAAUUUGUAUCUCAAGAGCUGGCUGCAAAUUCCCAUCUUUUGCAGGAAACCAACACAGGGAAAAUGCCCAAACCCCUCAAAAUCCAGAUUCCACGUUGUAAAGCCCCCCGUCUCCACCAUAAGAGAGGUUCGGGACCUGAAAACGGCCCCAGGGCAAAAAGUCAUACCUUGAUAAGCAAAUACAAAAUUUUCUGCGUACAUGUUUUAUUGUACAGGCAUCUUCACAAAACAUUGGAAAUAGAAUGAAAUAUGUUUGAUUGGGUAAAACCAAAAGACACAUUUGUUAUCUAGGGAUAAUGGCUAUCAGACUAACCCUGCAAGUCCCAUCAGGCAAUCAAUAUAUAUUUCUACUUUUCCUUCCUUUCAUAUUUUCAGUUUAUAGUAGCAAUAAAUACAUUGAUGCGUGAAAUUUACUGGAGUAUAAUGACCAGCUGGCAUUUGUGACCAGCAGCUGAACUGUGCAACCUCAUCCCUUCCCCACUGUCAUCAACUCAGAUAAUGUUGCGAGGCUCGGUUACUAGUCCCCAAAUGACAUUUAAUUAUCGUUCUAAUUGGAGGUCUCAUGGCUAUUCUUCUAAAUUGAGGUACGCUCAGUGAAGUCUUUGUAAAAUGAUUCGAAAUCCACUAAGCAGUUGAAGAAUAUUGUAUUCAUCCUUUUGAUUUAGCUCAGAAAUUGCUUAGCUUACAUCUCUCUUUCCCAACACUUUUCCUUCAAAAUUAGGAAAUAACUGAACUAUGUUCUUCACUGCAGAACCCAAACUGCAUCAGAAUACAAAAUCUUCUAAAAGGUAUUUUCUACAGAGAUAAUCUAGUGCACACCCAGCAUAGGCACGACGGAUGUUGCUAUUUGUUCUGAAUCCUGUCUUGGAUGCUGUCAAGGCACGAGAGUGAAGAGUCUGACAUAUGGCUAUGAAGCACAUCAAAAGAAUUGUUGGAUGUUAUGUAUUUAUUAUUGCUAAUCAGAUUAUAGCUUACUUUCUUUUCUAUUAUUCAUUUUUUCCAUUCAUUCUUUUUUAUUUUUCCCAAAACUCCUAGUACAUAGUUGCAUAUCCUAGUUGUAAGUUCUUCUAGUUCUUCCAUGUGGGACACCACCACAGCAUGGAUUGAUGAGCAGUGUGUAGGUCUGCACCCAGGAUCCGAACCAGCGAACCCCGGGCUGCCAAAGCAGAGUGCACGAACCUAACCACCAUGCCACCAGGCUGGCGCUCAUUCAUUCUUUUAAAUAACUACUUCUUAAGGGUCGUGAUGAUCAUUUUUUUCUCUAAUAGAAUUGUUCUUCUGUGAUUGUUCUGUGUUAUUCACAUUUUGUGCUCUUUUAAAUGAAAGUUUAUAAUAUAAAAAUUGACCACCAAGGGUCUUAUUUAUCAUUUCACAUUUCAGCUUCAGAAACACCAAAUUAUUUAUAUAGAAUGAUACAUUUUCAACUAUAUUUUUUUCUCUAUAAGCUCCAUGAAAAAAAAAAAGACAUUAUCUAUCUUUUUACCUAUUAAAUCCUUACCGUCUAACACAGGUCUGGCACUUAGUAAUCACUCGAAUACUUGCUGAAUGACAUUUGGCUGAAUGCAUACAGAUUUCAUAUUUUAUGACUAUAUUGGCCUGUUAUAUAUUUGUUUAUGGUGUCAUAUCAGUCAGAAUAAUCAGUGUCAGUUUUUAAAUCAUUUCUUAUUUAUAUAUUAUAUUUGUUCUAGUGUAUAUGGAUUUUAAGAUAAGUGAAGGCCAAUGUAGGAAAUAAAAUGAUUCUACACAAAAUAUCGUGAAAUAAAAAGAACCUGGUUUCCUGGGUGGGGGAUCCACACUUCAAAGAAUGGGCCUUCACAUUAAAUAAGAAUAUUUUGUAUCUGCCGACUACCUUUUACCUUAUUCUUUCCAAAACAUUCAAAGAAUUUUUUCACCACUUACUCUGAUGAUGGGCAAGUCUCGGUUUUCUCAACUUGUAAAGUGGGGCUAAUAGUUGUAUCUGUUCUACGGGGUUGUUGAAAAGAUAAAGUGAAAUCAGCCAUCCGGUUCUUUCCUCCUGGGCCAGGCACAUAGUAAGGACUCCCCACAUAGCAGCUGGCAUUGCUUCUCUCUCCCGCUCCCUGCCUCACAGCUCUCAAUUUUCUGACGUGGAGUGAUCAACGAUUGUGGGAGCAGUUUUAUAAUUCCCAGUACAUUGGAGCUACCUUCUUACUGAACGGCCUUUCUCAUUAACCAGAGAUUUAAGUCCACAUAUGAGCUCAGGAGCUAGACUGUCGACUUGAGAGUUCUUGCUUUCCUGACGGGCAGGAUAAGCCUUUUCAACCGGUCAGCCUUCAGGGUGUGCUGAGCCCACGUCCUACAAAUGGGAUCCACUUGGCUAUAAACUGAGUCUCCCGAGGAGAGCUAAAUGC
ensembl:lncRNA